rnacentral:lncRNA from 1 species
ACCAGCCUCAUCACCUCCACAAGCACUUCCAUUAUCCCAAGAAGGGAAUAAAUCAUUCUCAUUGAACUGAUCACUAGAUCCAUCUGCAUCUGCAAAUGCACCCAAACUUUAAAUACAAUCCAAAGACAGCUGAAAACAUUUUAAAUGAUCUCGACAUAUACAAGCAUGGUGAUUAAUCUAAUAUUUGGAAAAGGAAAACUUUAAAACAUUUUACCUGAGAAUCGUUUUUCCCUCCUCCCAAGGCACUAAAGAAAGAACAAAAAGCAUUAGAGAUAGCCUGACAGAGGCACUAAAUAAGCACCACUCCAGACAAGAAAAGUACU